rnacentral:miRNA from 1 species
AAUAAUACAUGGUUGGUCUUU